rnacentral:lncRNA from 1 species
GGACGUUAUGUCAGGCUCUGUUCCACAUUUCAGACCACUUAUCAAACAAAAAUCCUUUACACUGAAUUGAGCAACAUUGGACCCUAUUGCACAACUAAGGCCCAGCAUGUCCUUAACACCAAGUCCUCCGACUUGCUGGAGUGCCAGAGCAUGCACAAUUUGACCACUAAAUGCAAUUUUAUGGAGGUCCAACAGCUGCCCAAAACAGCUUUCUCUAAAUCUUUUCAUAAGCGACUCACUGAAAUGCGCCACAAAAUUACACAUGACUGAAUUCGCCGCAUACAAAUUAUUCAUCCGCGCAGUAUAGACCUCUGACUUCGGGAAACAAAGUUCAAACCCAGAUUCCAUUUUAUAACU